AAAAAAAAUGCGUUCUUUAUUUUAUUUUUCCUUCAUAUGUGAAAAUGUGAACGCAACUCUAUGGUCCAAACCCCAAACACAAUCAGGGCAGAUACAAAGCCAAGAAAAAUUCUACCAUAAAUAGGUCAAAAAUGAUCAGCAAUUUGUCAGGCAGACAGCUCAGAAAGUGGCAUAUUUUAUUUUUUAUACAUAAAAAAAUCUCCAACUUCGCGCACCAGGAAGAAUUCACAUUCCACCACUCAAUACUCGACAUAUGCACUAUCGUGGAGUACCCAGCACCAAGAAAUUUACUUUUCCCUUUUUUUUCUUGUACAAAUGUAGUUCUACAAAAACACAUAUCAAGCACAAGAAAUACCCUCCAAGCCAAUUCCAUUUUGGUCAUUUAGUUCAGGAGAAAUUAAUUUGUAUGAACUGGUAAUUCUUUUUUUUUUUUUUCCAAAAAGAAAAAUUCAAGCAUCAGUAACCAGAUCUUCGUAAGUAUGCUAGUACACCUAACCCAGCAACCAGAGCCGCACCUGCUGCAACAGCACUGUAUGCAGCAGCCCAUGCAUCUGUGUGAGCGUAAUCCAUAUCUCCUGAAGUAGAACUCCUCCGUCGACCACGUAUUCCAGAAUAGUCUAAAUGCAAUCUCAGACCCUUGAAACCAACUAAUUUUGCAUGCUCAACGGCUGCAGCAAGAUCACUAUCUGACUCCAGAACAACUUUAUCAUGAUCUUCAUCUUCAUACAGAAUUUGAGGCAAAUUGUUUCGGUCAAUGUCAUCCCCUAACCUCUGAAGUAUAGCCGUUACUAGAUCUGUCAAACUCCUAGUAUCACAAGUAAAUCUGUGCAUUCGCCCCUUCUUGUCUUCAAUUUUGAAACCAAAUGUAUUUGGCAACCCUGAUGAAGGAUAGGCAAGGGAUCUUCCUGUCUCUCCUCCUUCAGAAGGCAAUUUCAAGGAACCUUCACUCCGUGUAUCCUCAUCAUCCUCGUUGGGACUUAAAGCCAUUGCAGAAUCCCAAAACUUUUGCAUCAUUGUGCUUGCUGCCUCAUUAUUUACUCCAGCAGUACUUCCAACCUGAUUAAUGAAGUAAUAAAAAGAAAGUUUUCAUUCUGCUCAAGCAAUCAUAACAUAACAUGUGUUUCUCAUCACAAGUGAGUUCCUGCCUCCAGUGUGGAGAGAAAAUGCAAUCUAUUAUUGACUGGGUUAGAAAAUUGGUAAACCUCUUAUCUCAGGCAUGAGUGGAUUUGAAUACCAAGAGACAUUGCCAGCCAACAAAGCAGGCACUCAACUGUUAUUAGAAUUUGUGCCCAUACGACACCUCUUAUCCUCUCACUAAGAACUUAUUCUGAAUUUCUGAUGAAUGCAACUUGCAGAGAGACAAAUUAUAAAGCACAAAAUAUUUCAGAAGGUACGACUUGACUUACCGUGGCAACUGCUGCAUGAGUAAUAUGAAUCACAUCAACCACAGCAACUAUAUUCCCAUCUCUAUCUACCACAGGAAGGUGCAAAAACUUCCCAUCAUGCAUGAUAUGAAGAGCAUCAACAAUUGGUGUAUCAAUGGUUGCACAUUCAGGGUUAGGAGUCAUAACCUUCUCCACAACAGUGGUAUCUGGAGGAAGAUUUUGUGCUAUUACUCGCAUCAAGAUAUCCUUAGAGCUGACAGAAAAAUCCACAGAUUAUAGCAUGUAAUAAUAACAAUAAAAGAAACAUUUUCUGCUUUGAGAUAUAAAUAAAAAUCAGAUUGGGGAUGUAAACUAUUUAUUGGAUCAGAUACUUAAAAAAGACCUACGUUAAAAUUCCUCGUGGUUUGUGAUCAACCAUCACCACUGCAGAGCUUGACCGAAAUUCAAGCAUCUUCUUUGUCACUGCCAAAACACUUUCAGUUGGAGAAACUGUUACAACCUUUGAAUUCUCCUGAAUUAUUGUAGAUAAAGACGGUCUAAACAUCCGCUCUCGAAGUGUUUCAAUGAACGUAUUAGGUCCAGAUAAGGUUGUCCCCCAAUUUUUUUCUACACCUUCAACAGCUGCAGCAAUAGCCUUUCCCUUCUCAGCUGCCCUUUCCAUACGAGCAAUAGCAUCAUAUAAACACUUUGCUAUAUCAAGUAUAGCAAUGACCUCUCCAUUUUCCACAACAGGCAAAUGUCUGAAUUUUCCUUGAACCAUCUUCUGUAGAGCUUCCACAGCAAGGGUGUCAGAAAGAACAAAAACUGGGUUCCUUGUCAUAACUUUGGAAACUGGUGUUUCCUCAAGAUUAAUGUCACGAGCAAUUACUCUUGUUACUACAUCCUUAUCUGUGAGGAUUCCACAAAGUAACGCAUUUGAGUCCGUUAGCAAUAAAGCAUCAACUCUACGAGCAGCCAUACGACGGCAAGCCUCAUAAAUACUUGUGGCUUCAGGUACUGUCAGGGCCUUUGACAGGCGCAAUCGUUUUACUGUACGCUCACCAGUUAGUCCCCCGGGCCGAGAAGUGGUGAAAGAUUUUCGUGCAGAAUCCGGGGCUCCACCAUUCUCAGAUGAUUUCUUCCUCGCAAGCGUAGAAGAUGAAUUUGACAACGAAAAACUUUUCCUCGAAGAUCCACCUUGACUGGCCAUCUUCACCUAUAUUCCACACACAAUUCUCAAUCUAUAUCCCUCCAAAUUACUGCAACCAAUCACCAGAACGAGAGAUUAGGCUAGAGUUGUUUCAAUAGCAAAAGAUGACGUAGAUUUCAAUCAACAAAUGAAAUUUUGAUGAACGAAGCCUCAAUCAUAAACGAAAAUUAAUUUUCACAAAGUUGAACCGUCGGGAGUUGGAAUCAGAAUCUGGACGGAACAAAGGUGGCUAAUUGAGAGGGUUAGAAAUUUUCGAGGGAAAGCAGGUCGGGAUUGUUAUCGGAAAAUAAGAUUUUCCGUAAUAUUCACCGACCGGCAAGGCAGAGAGAUGGAACUAGGGGAGAUGGAGAGAUAUUGAAACCCUAGAAGAGAAAUGGGAGGACGUGAAAUUUGCCAUACGAUGGGAAGGGGCCCAAUGAUAUUCGCGCACGUUAACGAUUCUAACUGAAAUCUCUCCAAUUUCACUGGGGAUUAUAAUAAAUGUCGAUUUUUAAUUAAAGUAAA
rnacentral:misc_RNA from 1 species